AACAAUGGGAAUAUUGGCCUAAGUAAAAUGUAUUAUUCAUAUUGACUUCGGCUUUUUGUACUUUUUAUUGGCUAAUAGAAAAUUUAAUAUUACAUACGGGAUUAGCAUUUGUGGCUUGCAUCGCAUUUCUGCUGCAUCAUGAUGAUUCAAACUGAGUUUUCCAGACUAGGAUAUGCAUCCCUCAUACCCUACAAGAAAGCAAGCGCCAGGAGAGCCAGCCUCGUGGUAACAGGAGAGCCAUGCUCUGUCCAGAUGUCCACUGGCAUUUUCCCAGACAGAGGCCUGGGACUGCCAUCCAAGUGUAAUAGUAAUAAACAAAGGCUGUGACUAUUGCCACAGCCUCAGGGUUGCUGACCAUCCUAAGCCCCAAGCAGGAAAAGUGCCAAGAAGCAUUUGUCAUAUUUGGAUGUGAGAACAACAGGAAAGGAAGGUCCACAAGCAGAAGCGGCUAUGCUCGUAUGCUUUUCAUGUCAUCAGAGGGCUCCUUCCUUCUAAUGGCUGAUUUUACCAGUUCAUUGAGGCUCAUCAACCCCCCCACCUGCCAGCUAGAGGACCAUGCGAAGGCCAGGAGACGGGGUAUUAUGAGAGAGGAAAAGAAUCAACGCUCACAGAAAUCCUGCAUAUCCUGGAUCUUACCAUUGUGUAUAACCUCUGAUUGAUGACGCAGGAACCAAGCACUGAUGAUCUCAGGACCACUGACUGUGUAUCUGUUCGUCCCCCAUCAACCAGCCCUCCCCCCCAGUUGUUGUGUUCAUGUAUCCAUUUUCUAUGAAUUUUCUCUCUCAUUCUGCACAACCAGGAUUUGGACAGUCAUUGCCACAUGUGCUCACCAGCUCUACCGAACCCUCUCCUGUAUGAGAAAGCUAACCAUAAAAUGAAUUAAAAGGCUCUGGCUAAAGGUUCCAGUCUCUCUCCUAUGAAGUUAUUGCAUCAUUUCUACCUGUUUUACUGAAUUUAUGUGGCUCCUCAGAAGUGUGUAGCUGUAGUCCAAGUAACUACAAAGAACAGUGAGAGAUUCCUUUCAAUUCAGUUUACCCUUUAACUUCUAUUCAUUGCUAACAAAGGUGAUUGUGUGUGUGUGUGAAUUGUGUGUCUGUGUGUGAAAGUGCAUUUCUCCAGCAUAUCACCCACUCCAUCACCCAGGAUAGGAAUAUUGACGGUAUCAUUGACUUAUCCCUCUUCUUUACCCCUUGCAACCUAUCAAUCACCCAGUCCUUAUAAUCCCACUUAGGCUGUUUCUCAAAUAUGUCUCCUCUAGCGCAUUCCAUUGGCUAGUCUUAAGUGUGCUAGUUUUCUAGAACUGCUAUGAUGGUUGAUUUUGUGUGUCAGUUUGACUGGGUGACAGGGUUCCCAGAUACUCGCUCAGAAAUUAUUCUGCGUGC
rnacentral:lncRNA from 1 species